AUUUUUCUAGUAUAUAAGUACAUUUGACUUCCAAUCAAAAAGUUUGAACUCUCAAGAAAAAUA
rnacentral:tRNA from 1 species